rnacentral:rRNA from 1 species
UACGUAGGGGGCAAGCGUUGUCCGGAUUUAUUGGGCGUAAAGAGCGUGUAGGCGGCCUGAAAGGUCAGCUGUGAAAACUCGAGGCUCAACCUCGAGACGUCGGUUGAAACCAUCUGGCUAGAGUCCGGAAGAGGAGUGUGGAAUUCCCGGUGUAGCGGUGAAAUGCGCAGAUAUCAGGAGGAACACCGGUGGCGAAGGCGGGUCUCUGGGCAAUAACUGACGCUGAGGAGCGAAAGCGUGGGGAGCGAACAGG